rnacentral:rRNA from 1 species
UACGUAGGGGGCAAGCGUUGUCCGGAAUCAUUGGGCGUAAAGCGCGUGUAGGCGGCCCGGUAAGUCCGCUGUGAAAGUCGGGGGCUCAACCCUCGAAUGCCGGUGGAUACUGUCGGGCUAGAGUGCGGAAGAGGCGAGUGGAAUUCCUGGUGUAGCGGUGGAAUGACGCAGAUAUCAGGAGGAACACCAAUAGCGAAGGCAGCUCGCUGGGACGUUACUGACGCUGGAGGCGCGAAAGCGUGGGGAGCGAACAGG